ACGAACGCUGGCGGCGCGCCUAAUACAUGCAAGUCGAGCGAGAAGGUGUAGCAAUACACUUGUAAAGCGGCGAACGGGUGAGGAAUGCAUGGGUAACCUACCCUCGAGUGGGGAAUAACUAGCCGAAAGGUUAGCUAAUACCGCAUACGUUUCCGGGACUUCGGUACCGGAAAGAAAGCAAUACCGUGGGUAUUGCGCUCAUGGAUGGGCUCAUGUCCUAUCAGCUUGUUGGUGAGGUAACGGCUCACCAAGGCUUCGACGGGUAGCUGGUCUGAGAGGACGAUCAGCCACACUGGCACUGCGACACGGGCCAGACUCCUACGGGAGGCAGCAGUAAGGAAUAUUGCGCAAUGGACGAAAGUCUGACGCAGCGACGCCGCGUGGGGGAUGAAGGUCUUCGGAUUGUAAACCCCUUUCGGGAGGGAAGAUGGAGUGGGUAACCACUUGGACGGUACCUCCAGAAGCAGCCACGGCUAACUUCG
rnacentral:rRNA from 1 species